CUACGGGGCGCUGCAGUGAGGAAUAUUGCACAAUGGGGGGAACCCUGAUGCAGCAACGCCGCGUGGAGGAUGACGCAUUUCGGUGUGUAAACUCCUUUUAUAUGUCAAGAAAAUGGCGGUAGCAUAUGAAUAAGCACCGGCUAACUCCGUGCCAGCAGCCGCGGUAAUACGGAGGGUGCAAGCGUUACGUCGGAAUCACUGGGCGUAAAGGCCGCGUAGGCGGGUUGGAAAGUCAGGUGUGAAAUCCUACAGCUUAACUGUAGAACUGCACUUGAAACUUCUAAUCUAGAGUAUGGGAGGGGGAGAUGGAAUUAGUGGUGUAGGGGUAAAAUCCGUAGAUAUCACUAGGAAUACCUAAAGCGAAGGCGAUCUCCUGGAACAUUACUGACGCUAAGGCGUGAAAGCGUGGGGAGCAAACAGGAUUAGAUACCCCCGUAGUC
rnacentral:rRNA from 1 species